CACACUGGACUGAGACACGGUCCAGACUCCUACGGGAGGCAGCAGUGGGGAAUAUUGCACAAUGGGCGCAAGCCUGAUGCAGCCAUGCCGCGUGUGUGAAGAAGGCCUUCGGGUUGUAAAGCACUUUCAGUCGUGAGGAAGGUAGUGUAGUUAAUAGCUGCAUUAUUUGACGUUAGCGACAGAAGAAGCACCGGCUAACUCCGUGCCAGCAGCCGCGGUAAUACGGAGGGUGCGAGCGUUAAUCGGAAUUACUGGGCGUAAAGCGCAUGCAGGUGGUUUGUUAAGUCAGAUGUGAAAGCCCGGGGCUCAACCUCGGAAUUGCAUUUGAAACUGGCAGACUAGAGUACUGUAGAGGGGGGUAGAAUUUCAGGUGUAGCGGUGAAAUGCGUAGAGAUCUGAAGGAAUACCGGUGGCGAAGGCGGCCCCCUGGACAGAUACUGACACUCAGAUGCGAAAGCGUGGGGAGCAAACAGGAUUAGAUACCCUGGUAGUCCACGCCGUAAACGAUGUCUACUUGGAGGUUGUGGCCUUGAGCCGUGGCUUUCGGAGCUAACGCGUUAAGUAGACCGCCUGGGGAGUACGGUCGCAAGAUUAAAACUCAAAUGAAUUGAC
rnacentral:rRNA from 1 species